rnacentral:rRNA from 1 species
ACAAGCCGGAGGAAGGUGGGGAGUGACGUCAAGUCAUCAUGGCCCUUAUGUCCAGGGCGACACACGUGCUACAAUGGCCGGCACAGCGGGAAGCGGAGGGGCGACCCUGAGCGGAUCCCUUGAAAGCCGGUCCCAGUUCGGAUUGCAGUCUGCAACUCGACUGCAUGAAGUUGGAAUCGCUAGUAAUCGCGGAUCAGCCAAGCCGCGGUGAAUACGUUCCCGGGCCUU